GGGGGGGGGCCGGGAUCCUGGGCUGUGUGCCCCCGCGCCCUGGGCUCCCGGGCCUGCACCUCUGGAAUCGCGCUCCCGGGGCUGUGCAGCCCUCU
rnacentral:pre_miRNA from 1 species